UCAAACUUGGUCAUUUAGAGGAAGUAAAAGUCGUAACAAGGUUUCCGUAGGUGAACCUGCGGAAGGAUCAUUAACAAAUUCUAUGAAUAAUAUACACCAGUGAAUUGAGGCUGAGGGUGCGCGUGAUGUAAAAAGGUUUUUUUUACUCUUGUAUGCCCUCGGACUGCAAAUACGCAUAUACAUGGUAGUCAUUUACAAAUAUACAUAAAAAAAACAACUUUUAACAAUGGAUCUCUUGGCUCUCGCAUCGAUGAAGAACGCAGC
rnacentral:misc_RNA from 1 species